rnacentral:rRNA from 1 species
UACGGAAGGCAGCAGGGGGAAUAUUGCACAAUGGGCGCAAGCCUGAUGCAGCCAUGCCGCGUGUAUGAAAAAGGCCUUCGGGUUGUAAAGUACUUUCAGUCGUGAGGAAGGUGUUAAGGUUAAUAACCUUAGCAAUUGACGUUAGCGACAGAAGAAGCACCGGCUAACUCCGUGCCAGCAGCCGCGGUAAUACGGAGGGUGCGAGCGUUAAUCGGAAUUACUGGGCGUAAAGGGCACGCAGGCGGUUAAUUAAGUUGGAUGUGAAAUCCCCGGGCUUAACCUGGGAAUGGCAUUCAAGACUGGUUAGCUAGAGUCUUGUAGAGGGGGGUUAGAAUUCCAUGUGUAGCGGUGAAAUGCGUAGAGAUGUGGAGGAAUACCGGUGGCGAAGGCGGCCCCUGGACAAGACUGACGCUCAUGUGCGAAAGCGUGGGGAGCGAAAC